AUGUAGGGCAAUCUGUCUUUAAGUAGGGGUAAAUUACUCUUAAAAAAUGAAUCCUAGAUAGUUUUCCUUGCAAGUCAAGCGUCUUGU
rnacentral:pre_miRNA from 1 species